GGGAGGAUAACUCAACAGGUUAGAGUGUCGGUUUGUCAAGCCGGAAGUUGCGGUUCAAGUCCCGUUUCUCCCG
rnacentral:tRNA from 1 species